rnacentral:rRNA from 1 species
UACGUAGGGUGCGAGCGUUGUCCGGAAUUACUGGGCGUAAAGAGCUCGUAGGUGGUUUGUCGCGUUGUCCGUGAAAACUCACAACUCAAUUGUGGGCGUGCGGGCGAUACGGGCAGACUGGAGUACUGCAGGGGAGACUGGAAUUCCUGGUGUAGCGGUGGAAUGCGUAGAUAUCGGGAGGAACACCAGUGGCGAAGGCGGCUCUCUAGUACGGUACUGACGCUGAGACGCGAAAGCGUGGGGAGCGAACAGG